rnacentral:misc_RNA from 1 species
GUGGCCUUAAGAAUGACAUGUUGGGCGAUUUCUUCCCCCAAUAUUUCAUUCAAGGCUUCGUGCAAAUACUCCCUGAACACUGUAUAGCUUGUAUAUAAAGCCCCUUCAAUUGCAACAACUGUUCUUUUCAUCUUCAUGUCGCUUCUACCUCUUACACUGUUGAUGCCCCCUGUUCCAUCCCGGCCAAUCUUCUUCAAGAUUCCCACAAUGCC